rnacentral:rRNA from 1 species
UACGGAGGGUGCAAGCGUUGUCCGGAAUCACUGGGCGUAAAGGGCGCGUAGGCGGCCUGGUAAGUAGGGGGUGAAAUCCUGCGGCUUAACCGCAGGGCUGCCUUCUAAACUGUCAGGCUUGAGCACGGUAGAGGCAGAUGGAAUUCCCGGUGUAGCGGUGGAAUGCGUAGAGAUCGGGAAGAACAUCAGUGGCGAAGGCGGUCUGCCGGGCCGUUGCUGACGCUGAGGCGCGACAGCGUGGGGAGCAAACAGG